rnacentral:rRNA from 1 species
AGUGAACGCUGGCGGUAGGCCUAACACAUGCAAGUCGAACGGCAGCACAGUAAGAGCUUGCCCUUACGGGUGGCGAGUGGCGGACGGGUGAGGAAUACAUCGGAAUCUACUUUUUCGUGGGGGAUAACGUAGGGAAACUUACGCUAAUACCGCAUACGACCUACGGGUGAAAGCAGGAGAUCUUCGGACCUUGCGCGAUUGAAUGAGACGAUGUCGGAUUAGCUAGUUGGCGGGGUAAGGGCCCACCAAGGCGACGAUCCGUAGCUGGUCUGAGAGGAUGAUCAGCCACACUGGAACUGAGACACGGUCCAGACUCCUACGGGAGGCAGCAGUAGGGAAUAUUGGACAAUGGGCGCAAGCCUGAUCCAGCCAUACCGCGUGGGUGAAGAAGGUCUUCGGGUUGUAAAGCCCUUUUGUUGGGAAAGAAAAGCAGCAUGUUAAUACCCCGCUGUUCUGACGGUACCUAAAGAGUAAGCACCGGCUAACUUCGUG